UUUUCUUUAAACAAAAAUCAUGACUGUUACUUUAAAGUAAAUAUUGCAUUGAUAUUGAUAUUUUUUUAUAUUUGAAAAUAUGAAGAAGAAAAAAAAUCAUUCAAAAAAAUAAAAAAAGAGAGAAACAAAGCUAACACUGUUAAAGUAGUAUUUAAAAAAAAUUGUGAGUUAUUCCAAUAAUAUUGAGUAUGAUCAUAGAUCUUUAUCAGAAAGAGCAUAUGAUAAUUUUCCAAUGCAUCCAUUUUUCCAAGUGUUAGUUUUGUUUAUUUUAUGGGCCGAAACUGUCCUGGUGGUUUUAAAUUUAUGUAAAUUUCUUUUUUAAAUUAUUAGAUAAAAAUUUAAAAUAACAUUAAUUGAUUCUUUUUUUAUACACCAGGAAGGUAUCAGGGAAAUACAAAAUAAUUUCAUUUUUAACUUCAUCAGAUUGAUCUCUUCCCUGACUGAUGAGGCCCAGAGAGACAAUCUGAGGAAUUGAACAAAUGUGACAGUCAGGCAGAUUCAUUUGCUGCCAAAUUGCUGCAGAUUUUCUUCUGACUACUGAAAAUGCCUUAAUUAUGAGGCCCACGCCAGCGCUCAGUCCAUCCUAUGGUGAUUAAUUGUACAAGUUCUAGUACAACAUACAGCCUGCAGAAGAGAUAAUUGGUGGAAUGCAGUGCCAGUGACAUACCCCUUAAAGAACAGUCAUAAUUUGUACAUGUUGUGCAUCUGAAUCAUUUGUCAUUAGCAGGGGUUUACAAAUAAAUUGUGACAAAAAAGUA